AGGCGCAGGAGGUGAAGGAGAUGGAGGUGGUUGGGAUUUGUAAACAUACGGUGGUGGAGGUGAGGGAGAUGGUGGUGGUGGGGAUUUGUAAAUGUAAGGAGGGGGAGGUGACCCUGAUGGAGGAGGUGGAGACUUAUAAACAUAAGGAGGAGGAGGUGAUGGAGAUGGAGGAGGGGGAGACUUGUAAAUGUAAGGAGGUGGUGGUGAUGGUGAAGGUGGUGGUGGUGAUUUAUAAAUAUAAGGAGGGGGAGGUGAUGGUGAUGGAGGAGGUGGUGACUUGUAAUAGUAGGGAGGUGGAGGAGAUGGAGAUGGUGGCGGUGGUGAUUUAUAGAAAUAAGGAGGUGGUGGUGAAGGAGAAGGUGGAGGUGGUGAUUUGUAGUAGUAAGGUGGUGGCGGAGAGGGAGAUGGAGGAGGUGGAGACUUGUAGUAGUAACGAGGUGGAGGAGAUGGUGAUGGGGGUGGUGGGGACUUAUAGUAGUAUGGAGAAUGUGGUGAUGGAGAGGGUGAUGGUGGUGAUUUGUAGUGGUAAGGUGGAUACUCAUGCUGGUAAUACGGUGGUGGAGGUGGAGAUGCAUAAAUGUAAGGCUUGUCGUCUGCAGCUACAUUACUGGCUAUCAAGCAAAACGCCAAAGCAAAAACUAGAUGAGGCCAAAAAUUGGCCAUUUCCAGCAACCCUUAAGUCUGAUCCCCAAAAUGCAGGACUUCUACCUCAAAACUUCUAUAGAAGGAACUUGUGAAUGACUGGAAACGAGGGGCUCUGCAGAGCAUUUAUAGUGAUCUUUUGAGUAAGUGCAGCAUUUGUUUAAUAGUUGUUGAAAGCUUCCAACUUGUAAAAUACCUAACAAUUUGAAAAAGUAUCCCAAGUUAUUCAAGUAUUUGACAAUAUGUCAUGGGAUUCCACUACUCUCUUGAUGGAUUAGAUGCACUAAAGAUACAUGUCUAAGAAGAGGUCAAAAGAACUAAUGUGAGAAAAUUUCAGGGUCUCAGAAAAUCUUCCAUGUAGCCAUGCCAAAUGGAUGCCAGCAGCUAGCCUGCCGGCCAUCAGCUGACAAGUACAACAGCUAGGGCCAGCCGGUGGAUUAUUAAUAAUGAUAAUUGUAGGUCUUGGAUCUCACAUAGACUUGGUCUUCCUACCAAAUAUCAAGAACUUGGACACAUAUGUACAGAAUAUUUGGCAUAAAGCUGAAAAAUCAUUCCAACAAUGAAGUUGGUUGAUGUUAAUUAAGUCUAGAAAUUUAAUUUACUGAAAAAUCUUUCUACUCUUUGUUCUUCUCUUCUAUAUAUUAAUUUGUCUUCUAUUUCAGCCAUGAAUUCUUUGAAAUUUUCUUCGACUAACAUAUAUAUAUAUAUAUAUGGGCAAUUUUUUUUCCUUUUCUACAUUUAAAUUUCCAGUCAUUGGUAUAACUACAAUAUGCAAUACUGGGUAUGAAUCAUGAACAAGAUUAACAUUCUAGCUGCUUUUGUCUGGUUUGGUCCAUGCAAAGGUACCUGUGAUUAUCAAGUUUUCAAUAUAAGUUAGUUUAGCUUGUCUUUUAUGUUCAUUAAAAAGACCAGUUCCAAACCUCUAGCCAAUAAAAUAGAUGCAGUGACAAUCAAAAAGUCAUUUGUGAAGAAGAAGAUAGGGUGAUGAGGCAUGAAAUGUUCAAGGACAUACUAGUUAGAUUUCUUUUAGUUUUUGUAUCCUUUUCUAGGAUUCCUUGUCAGUUACAUUGAUUUGGUAUAUUGUAUGUAAAGAGAAAUUUGAUGACAUCUCCAAUGGGAAUCAGUUGCCAUCGGCACUUGUCUUUCCCAUUAUAAAGCAAAUUAACCAAGUCAAGAUGAAGCUUGGUUGUCCUACACCAUUAUCUGCCAUCAAUUAAUUAUAUUCCAAGUUGAUUGAAAUGAUUAUACUAGUUAACGAGAUCGCUCCAUUUAUAUUCGGACAGUGCUUGCCAUCACUAUCUGAAAUGGAACUAUUAGAUAAGAAAUUUGUUGAGGCCAUUUAGCUACAGCUUACAUACAAUGUCAAAUAUGAAAUUUUUGCCAUCACUAUCAGUCCACAUUCAUACAAACUGUUUAAAUGCUAGCUAGGAAGAAGCUACUUAGAGAUCUUGUUCAUUUUGAAAUACAAAUUUUAACUGGAAAAUUCAUCAUGAUGUGCUUGAGAUAUGAAUAUAUAGGUUUAUAGAUUAUUUAAGGAUUUCCAUUAUUCUGACUAAUUCUGCCAGAAGUUCUCCAUUGUCUCCCUAUAGCUAGUUUGUAUUCUCUUUUUUUUUGUUUAAAUAUUUUAGGAGAAGGUUUUAACAAGGCAAGUUUCACCCUAAUAUGACAAAAGCAAGAAGAUGAACCUACUUCGGUUGCAGACAAUAUUAUUGUACUAGAUUUUUGGGCUACUAAUGGCUUAUUAGCCUUUAGGAGGCUUUCAAUCCUGGAACAUUGAAUUAAUUUAUAGGUUUUAAACCUAUUAUUUUCUGUUUCAAUGACAUUUAAGAUUUUAGUUAUUUGAAAAUUGGGAUAAGCUUUAUGGCUAAGUUGGAAGAGCUUUUAUAAAAACUAGAAGAAGUCAUAAUGUUCCUUCAUUUUGUACAUAAAUUUUAUGUAUUCAUUAUGAUACAUAUCUUUUUCUUCUUCAAAAAAGGUUUCAAGAAACCAUUUUCUAGCUUUGGAAUUUUUCUUAGAAUAGAAAUGCUCUUUAAGCAGUUCUUUAUUUAUCUCAACGUUAUUAACUUGUAUCACCAUUGGGUGAUUGAUGUCUGCAUAGCCAAUGCCGAACAAAGUGGGAGUUCCUAAUCUCCUAGAGGAUGCUUCAAAUGGUGGGAUUUCGACCCUAUAUAUUGGUUUAUUAAUGUGGUUAGAACUUUCCCAAACUCCUUCGCAGGUUUCCUUCCUCGAAAUUUGUAUUGGAACCGAAGAUGUAGACCUUCUCAAAGAUGGUCUAGAUGACUCUUUAGUCUCUAUCUUUAUAUUUCUAGAAGGAAAUCUUAUUUAUACUUAGUCAUCUUUAUGCUCAAUGAUAUUAGAAGGUUUCAUAGAAACAGGAACUUCAACUGGAACAACAUCUAGUAAUUUCUAAAUUUCAAAACCUCAAUAUCUUCCCAUCUAACCUUCUAUGGGACAAACACUUUUAAUUUUAAAAUAUUUGUUUGAAAUAGGGUAGUUUCUCUCCUUUUAUCCUUUAAGGCUUUCUCUAGCCUAACAUUAGGACUAAUUGUUGUCAUGGUUUUACAAAAUAUUCUUUAAAUUAGCACCAUAUUUUGGGCUAACAGAUUCAUAUCAAAACCAAUGGUUUUAAUAUUUAGGGUUAAAACGUCUAGAAUAAUUGGAUCAAUAAGAGAGAUAGAAAAAUUUGGGAAACAGUUAAAAUAAACUAAUCCCUAUGUUACUAACCCUAACAAAGAAUCCAAAUAUUGGUUGUGCUUGGUAUCUCUUAAGCUUAUAAGCACUGAGUUAUUAAGCCCUUCUCUAGUUAGAAGCUUAAUAGCUAUUUGCACUAGCCCUAAAUGAAGGAAUUUAUAAUCUUCUUGGGCUUUUUCUAUUAUCCUUCUAGGUAAUAGUUUGAAUGUCGUCUGUUUUUUAAUAAUAGCAAGAAUUUCUUCUACUGUUUGAUAUGAUAAUCUGAACGGAAUUCAUAAGUUCCUCUAUUACAGACUAAUUUAGAGGAUGCAUGUUUUGGGAAUCAUCCAGUUUUGAAGAUGAUCCUUUAUAUCUGCUAUAGAAACAAUUUUUUAUUUUUAGAAGAUAGUCUUAAGGUAAAAAAAGAGCAAAAUAAAUUGGCUAUGAUGAGAGGAGUCAAGAAUAUCUAAACUUCAAAAUUAAAGCUCUCUGUAGGAUCGGACAACGAUUAAUAUUGCUAUACUACCCUUCCUGGGUCUGACUAGGCUAUGUGUCAAAGUCCAAAGAGUAACCCUUCAAUAUGAGAUAUUAUCUCUCCCUAACUGACUCUGAUACCAUUCUAGCCUAGAAUAUACAUAUAUAUGUAUAUAAUUAAACAUAAUUAAACAGUAAGCAUACUUAGACAGUUUCAAAUAUAGUCGAACAUAUACUAGCAAAUCAAUAAGGAAUAAAGAGAAAUCUUAUAAGAAACCGAGGGGAAUCUUACACUCAAAAGGACAGAGGAGUUGUUACAAGCCUAUACUUUAAUUCACCGAGCACCCUCACAUGAACACCCAAAAGAUCACUUCAAACACUCAGGCAUACACUCAGAAGCUUAGUAAGGAAUGAUUCCUUAGUAAGAAAAGAGUAAAUAAAAAAUUUAAUAUAAAUUAAAGACUAAAUAAACAAGGCCUCAUCCUCAGCUUUAAAUAAUUUUUUUUUAAUAUAAUUAAGACAAAUUUUGAAUAUUUGAAAUUUCAACUGAUCACAGAUCAGGCAUCCUUGAAGGCUAUCAGUCACUUGACUACUUCUAGAUGAGUUAUAAAAUUGCUUGAGAAAUUAUCUGCUUUAGCCAGUUAAUUUCUAGGCAAAUGUUCAACAGGUUACUCAGAAUACCCUCCAUAAUAGAAUGAGCCGAGUCGAAAGCACUAAUUAUACUAGAGAUACAUGCAAUAUGGGUAUAAAUAAAAGUGAAUACUGUGAACCCUUUGAGCAGUGAAGGAAAAAAAAAUGGUCUCAGAACCUUUCGAGUCCUUAAGAGACUUAGAAAUUUUGCAAGGAUCGAUACUUAAAUUAAUGAGCCAAAUUUGAAUAUUGAUGGAAAAGCACAUCAAAGCUAGUAACUUAGCCAUGGCCAGCAUGCAUCAAAGCUUGCUGGCAUUAGAAAUGUACUAUGAUGGAAACUGCCGUGAAGCAGCACUACUAGAUGCAGCUUAACAAUGUUUCACAUGUUGAAACUCUCUGCGGGCUUUGCUCAACUUGCGAGCCACGCAUUUCUAUAUUUUCAAUUUCUAAUUGUUUACUCUGGGCUUUUUGCUCAUAAAUGAAGUUUUGCCUUUGAUCCAUCUGGGGCACAUUCUCACAUUCAAAUCACUGCAAAAAUUCCUUUUUAUUUCAAUAUCAGUAACAUAAUUUGUAGACAGUGAAUGGAUAAACACGAUCCUGAGGAAAAAAAUCAAUCGUAAUAUACUUAGAUUCAUGACUCAUGAAUACAAAUAAAAUCAAAAUCACAUGAAGAAAGGCAAAGAAGCAUCCAUGGGCUUUGACCCUUAUUCUGAACGCCAUUGUCUUCUUUGAGUUUAACUGGUCGUCAAUGUAUCCCCAAAGAACAUGUGGCUCCUUCUUUUAUUAAUUACUUUUCUAUCAACCAAUGAGCUGCAAAAAAGAUAAUAAAAACAUUAAUUUCAUAAAAAUAAUAAAAACCAGGAGUGAAUAAGCUGAAACAUAAGUGUUAUGCUUACAUAAAACAAGUAGAAAUGGCCGAUCUUUUAGUAAUGGUAUGGAGGUGGUGGUGAUGGAGAAGGUGGAGGUGGAGACUUGUAGUAGGGUGGAGGGGGUGAGGGAGAUGGUGGUGGUGGAGAUUUGUAGUAAUAAGGUGGGGGAGGUGAUGGAGAAGGUGGUGGUGGAGACUUAUAAACAUAUGGAGGAGGAGGUGAUGGAGAUGGUGGUGGUGGGGAUUUGUAAAUGUAAGGAGGCGGAGGUGAUGGAGAAGGUGGUGGUGGGGANNNNNNNNNNNNNNNNNNNNNNNNNNNNNNNNNNNNNNNNNNNNNNNNNNNNNNNNNNNNNNNNNNNNNNNNNNNNNNNNNNNNNNNNNNNNNNNNNNNNGAUGAAGAAGAUGGUGGUGGUGAUUAAUAGAAAGAAGAAGGAGGUGGAGAUGAAGAAGGUGGUGGUGGAGAUUUAUAAAUAUAAGGAGUAGGAGGUGAUGGUGAUGGAGGAGGUGGGGAUUAAUAAACAUAUGGAGGAGGUGGUGAUGGUGAAGGUGGUGGUGGUGAUUUAUAAAUAUAAGGAGGAGGAGGUGAAGGAGAUGAAGGAGGUGGAGAUUUGUAAACAUAUGGAGGUGGAGGUAAGGGAGAUGGUGGUGGAGAUUUGUGAAUAUAAGGAGGGGGAGGUGAUGGUGAUGGAGGAGGUGGGGACUUAUAGAUAUAUGGAGGAGGUGGUGAUGGUGAAGGUGGUGGUGGUGAUUUGUAGAUGUAAGGUGGAGGAGGUGAAGGAGAUGGAGGAGGUGGUGAAUUGUAAACAUACGGAGGAGGAGGUGAGGGAGAUGGUGGUGGUGGUGAAUUGUAAACAUACGGAGGUGGAGGUGAGGGAGAUGGUGGUGGUGGGGAUUUAUAAAUGUAAGGAGGGGGAGGUGAUGGUGAUGGAGGAGGUGGAGACUUGUAAACAUAAGGAGGA
rnacentral:lncRNA from 1 species